rnacentral:rRNA from 1 species
UUGUAGUAGGAGAAUAGAUAAGGAGUCGGACCUGCCCGGUGAGAUAUUUCUUUAACGGCCGCGGUACUCUGACCGUGCAAAGGUAGCAUAAUCAUUUGCCUUAUAAUUGAAGGCUAGUAUGAAUGGUUUGACAAGAAUAUAGCUGUCUCUUUAACAAUUUAGUAGAAUUUUAUUUUUAGGUGAAAAAGCCUAGAUUUGAUUAAAAGACAAGAAGACCCUAUCGAGCUUUAGAGAAUUUGAUAGAUAUAAAGGAUUAUAUUAAAUCUGUAAGAAUGAAGUUACAAGAUGGUGCUAUCGAACACUUUGGUUGGGGCGACUGAGGAACAUGUAAAGCUUCCUUCAAGCGAGUUUAAAACGGACAAGUAUUGAUCCAAUUUUAUUGAUUAAGGGAAUUAGUUACCGUAGGGAUAACAGCAUUAUCUUUCUUGAGAGUUCAUAUCGAAAGGAAGGUUUGUGACCUCGAUGUUGGACCAGAAUGUCCUAAAGAUGCAGAAGUCUUUAAGGGUUGGUCUGUUCGACCAUUAAAAUUCUA